CUGGUCUGCCUCCAGGUCUACAGGCUUCUCUUUUCUGUCCUUCCUGAGACCUCUGGUCUCCUAAGACCGCUCUUGAUCUGGGGAUUGGCAGACUGGGGAUCAUGGAGGCUGAAGAAAUCUACAUAAACCAGACCAGUAUGCAGGCAGCAGCCGUCAAAGACAAGCAACGGGGGACACCAGCCAAUAGGAAAGGUGUAGAUGACCCCAACUAUGCAAAUAUCCCCGUGACCUUAAGAAAACAGGAUCAUCCAAAGGGCAGUCACUCACCCUCCAAGAGUGAGGCCCGGUCCAGGCCAUCCUCGGACUCUGCCCAGUAUUUGCACAAAGCCUUCACAAGCCUGUACAUUCUUCUCGCUCUGAUUUCCAUCAUUCUGUUGGUCUGGGU